rnacentral:rRNA from 1 species
UACGUAGGGUGCGAGCGUUGUCCGGAAUUAUUGGGCGUAAAGAGCUCGUAGGCGGUGUGUCACGUCGGCCGUGAAAACCUGCAGCUUAACUGUGGGCGUGCGGUCGAUACGGGCAUCACUGGAGUUCGGCAGGGGAGACUGGAAUUCCUGGUGUAGCGGUGAAAUGCGCAGAUAUCAGGAGGAACACCGGUGGCGAAGGCGGGUCUCUGGGCAAUUCCUGACGCUGAGGCGCGAAAGCGUGGGGGAGCAAACGGGG